rnacentral:rRNA from 1 species
GACAGAGGUGCCAAGCGUUAGGCGGAAUCACUGGGCUUAAAGCGUGUGUAGGCGGAAUUGUAAGUACCUUGUGAAAUCCCACGGCUCAACCGUGGAACUGCUCGGCAUACUGCUUUUCUUGAGCCACUUAGGGGCUGUCGGAACAAAUGGUGGAGCGGUGAAAUGCGUAGAUAUCAUUUGGAACGCCAACGGUGAAAACAGACAGCUGGGAGUGUGCUGACGCUGAGAUACGAAAGCCAGGGGAGCGAACGGG